rnacentral:rRNA from 1 species
UACGGAGGGUGCAAGCGUUAUCCGGAAUUACUGGGUUUAAAGGGUGCGUAGGCGGCUUGGUAAGUCAGGGGUGAAAUCCCGCAGCUCAACUGUGGAAUUGCCUUUGAUCCUGCCGAGCUUGAAUCAGGAUGAGGUUGGCGGAAUGUGACAUGUAGCGGUGAAAUGCUUAGAUAUGUCAUAGAACACCGAUUGCGAAGGCAGCUGGCUAGACCUUGAUUGACGCUGAGGCACGAAAGCGUGGGGAGCGAACAGG